rnacentral:rRNA from 1 species
GAUCCUGGCUCAGGACGAACGCUGGCGGCGUGCCUAACACAUGCAAGUCGAGCGGGGAAUAUUGAGUAGCUUGCUACUUGGUAUUUCUUAGCGGCGGACGGGUGAGUAACGCGUGAGCAACCUGCCUUUAUCAGGGGGAUAACGCGAUCGAAAGAUGUGCUAAUACCGCGUAAGACCACAGCUUCACAUGGAGCAGGGGUCAAAGGAGACAAUCCGGAUAAAGAUGGGCUCGCGUCCG